rnacentral:rRNA from 1 species
CUUUGGGGGCGGCCUACACAUGCAAGUCGAGCGGAACGAGUUAUCUGAACCUUCGGGGGACGAUAACGGCGUCGAGCGGCGGACGGGUGAGUAAUGCCUAGGAAAUUGCCCUGAUGUGGGGGAUAACCAUUGGAAACGAUGGCUAAUACCGCAUGAUGCCUACGGGCCAAAGAGGGGGACCUUCGGGCCUCUCGCGUCAGGAUAUGCCUAGGUGGGAUUAGCUAGUUGGUGAGGUAAGGGCUCACCAAGGCGACGAUCCCUAGCUGGUCUGAGAGGAUGAUCAGCCACACUGGAACUGAGACACGGUCCAGACUCCUACGGGAGGCAGCAGUGGGGAAUAUUGCACAAUGGGCGCAAGCCUGAUGCAGCCAUGCCGCGUGUGUGAAGAAGGCCUUCGGGUUGUAAAGCACUUUCAGUCGUGAGGAAGGUGGUGUAGUUAAUAGCUGCAUUAUUUGACGUUAGCGACAGAAGAAGCACCGGCUAACUCCGUGCCAGCAGCCGCGGUAAUACGGAGGGUGCGAGCGUUAAUCGGAAUUACUGGGCGUAAAGCGCAUGCAGGUGGUUUGUUAAGUCAGAUGUGAAAGCCCGGGGCUCAACCUCGGAAUAGCAUUUGAAACUGGCAGACUAGAGUACUGUAGAGGGGGGUAGAAUUUCAGGUGUAGCGGUGAAAUGCGUAGAGAUCUGAAGGAAUACCGGUGGCGAAGGCGGCCCCCUGGACAGAUACUGACACUCAGAUGCGAAAGCGUGGGGAGCAAACAGGAUUAGAUACCCUGGUAGUCCACGCCGUAAACGAUGUCUACUUGGAGGUUGUGGCCUUGAGCCGUGGCUUUCGGAGCUAACGCGUUAAGUAGACCGCCUGGGGAGUACGGUCGCAAGAUUAAAACUCAAAUGAAUUGACGGGGGCCCGCACAAGCGGUGGAGCAUGUGGUUUAAUUCGAUGCAACGCGAAGAACCUUACCUACUCUUGACAUCCAGAGAACUUUCCAGAGAUGGAUUGGUGCCUUCGGGAACUCUGAGACAGGUGCUGCAUGGCUGUCGUCAGCUCGUGUUGUGAAAUG